ACCUGAGAGGGUGAUCGGCCACAUUGGAACUGAGACACGGUCCAAACUCCUACGGGAGGCAGCAGUGGGGAAUAUUGCACAAUGGGCGAAAGCCUGAUGCAGCAACGCCGCGUGAGUGAUGAAGGCCGUCGGGUCGUAAAACUCUGUCCUCAAGGAAGAUAAUGACGGUACUUGAGGAGGAAGCCCCGGCUAACUACGUGCCAGCAGCCGCGGUAAUACGUAGGGGGCUAGCGUUAUCCGG
rnacentral:rRNA from 1 species